GGGCGACUGAACUGGGAAGAGCCCAGCGCAUAACCUGGCGUCGUGACCCGGCGCCAGGGGUGUUGCGUUUCGGAGGGUCCGGCACGCAGUCUCUCACCGCCUAAGUUAUGCUUGAAAGCGGCCACUACCCAUGGAGGGUGACAGGCCCGUGUGGCGGCGCCCGCGAGGGUACACGAGAGAUUGUCGGAAAGGGCCUCUCCGUAGAGUCGGGUUGCUUGAAAAUGCAGCCCUAAGUAGGUGGUAAACUCCAUCUAAGGCUAAAUAUGACCACGAGACCGAUAGCGAACAAGAACCGUGAGG
rnacentral:rRNA from 1 species